AACGCUGGCGGCGUGCCUAAUACAUGCAAGUCGAACGAGCUUCCGUUGAAUGACGUGCCCUGACUGAUUAUGCAUUCCAGUGAGUGGCGAACUGGUUAGUAACACGUAGGGAACCUGCCCAGAAGCAGGGGAUAACACUUGGAAACAGAUGCUAAUACCGCAUACCAACAAAAGCCGCAUGGCUUUUGUUUGAAAGAUGGCUUUGGCUAUCACUUUUGGAUGAUCCUGCGGUGCAUUAGUUAGUUGGUAAGGUAACGGCUUACCAAGACGAUGAUGCAUAGCCGACCUGAGAGGCUGAUCGGCCACAAUGGGACUGAGACACGGUCCAUACUCCUACGGGAGGCAGCAGUAGGGAAUCUUCCACAAUGGGCGCAAGCCUGAUGGAGCAAUGCCGCGUGAGUGAAGAAGGGUUUCGGCUCGUAAAGCUCUGUUGUUGGAGAAGAACGGGUUUGAGAGUAACUGUUCAAGGGUUGACGGUAUUUAACCAGAAAGUCACGGCUAACUA
rnacentral:rRNA from 2 species